rnacentral:sRNA from 1 species
UUUUUUUUUGGUUAAAAC